rnacentral:misc_RNA from 1 species
GAACUCCCGUCAAGACUGGGCGAGGCGCGACCGGAUCCCGCUCCUGACUUGCCCAGGCUACGUAGCCUCCUUGCGAAUCGUCGUAUCUCAUGAAGAAGAACACUAUGUCUCAUUCGGUGACGAUCAGGACGGCGACCGUCACUACGAGUACGUCAGCGAUCAUCAUCAACACUGGUUAUUUCAAGUCCUUGAGCGGGAUCGUUAAGCUUCUACAGCUUAUUCUUGGGACGAUUUGCGUGGGACUAGUGGGCUAUCAGUUCAGCGCGGGUAAUUAUCGGACCACGGCUGACUUGUUCUUCCUUCUAAUGACUACAACAUUCAUGAUAUCGACGUUCAUAUUAAUACUUUCGUGCCUGGCCUCGAUUUCAACGGAAUCGAUCAUUUCCAAGACUAUUUAUGAAGUAAUUUAUCACUCGAUUGCGUUUGGCCUGUUGCUCGCUUGCUCCUUGACCCUUUUGGUGCAAGUUAAUGAUCGGUACUCCAGAGAUCAUGACAGAAUGCUGGCAGCGGCCAUAUGCGGACUCAUCAAUUGUUGCCUUUAUCUGUGUAGUACAGUAAUUGCUUUGCGUACGUACAGAGGUCUAUGAAGAACAUGCAACAAGAGUUGCAGCUAUAUCCAGAGAAGUCAUUCGGAAAACAUUGAUCCUAUGGACCAUUACUUAAUUCAUUGUUUGUACAUUUAUAUCGGAAGCAAAAGCGAUUUAUAUCCUGGAUAUUUUUAAGGGAAAUAUAUGUGCGCGUAUUCGUCAUCUUUUAAACAA